UACGUAGGGUGCGAGCGUUAAUCGGAAUUACUGGGCGUAAAGCGUGCGCAGGCGGUUUUGUAAGCCAGAUGUGAAAUCCCCGGGCUUAACCUGGGAAUGGCAUUUGGGACUGCAAGGCUUGAGUGCGGCAGAGGAGACUGGAAUUCCUGGUGUAGCAGUGAAAUGCGUAGAUAUCAGGAGGAAUACCGAUGGCGAAGGCAGGUCUCUGGGCUGACACUGACGCUCAUGCACGAAAGCGUGGGGAGCGAAACAACGG
rnacentral:rRNA from 1 species